GGCUUGAUAGCGCAGUGGUAGCAUGCCCCACAGUUGUUUGCCCCAAUGUUUGACCAUUCCAGAGAGACCCAGAGUUUGAUCCUCUGUCAAGCCA